ACAGCAGCCGCCGCGGUAAUACGUAGGUGACAAGCGUUGUCCGGAUUUAUUGGGCGUAAAGCGAGCGCAGGCGGUCAAUUAAGUCUGAUGUGAAAGCCCCCGGCUCAACCGAGGAGGGUCAUUGGAAACUGGUUGACUUGAGUGCAGAAGAGGAGAGUGGAAUUCCAUGUGUAGCGGUGAAAUGCGUAGAUAUAUGGAGGAACACCAGUGGCGAAGGCGACUCUCUGGUCUGUAACUGACGCUGAGGCUCGAAAGCGUGGGUAGCAAACAGGAUUAGAGACCCCUGUAGUCCCUGUCUCUUAUAC
rnacentral:rRNA from 1 species